rnacentral:rRNA from 1 species
UCGUUUAAAGCCAUUACGUCAACGUCCUUAACGAAUGUAAUCACGUUCUAACCUAUUGAAGUCAACUUAGAUGACCGUAAGCACGCUUUCGGCACCCAGUUAACCAACAGAGGUCAGAGGAUAGCCCAAAGGGUAUUCGUUGCAAUCCUCGGUCCCAAACACCACAUCUACCAAAGGUAUAACACUUCAACCGAGAUCGAAGCUACAUUCCUCCGAUCAUUUUAUGGCGUCCAAAAC